AUUGAACGCUGGCGGCAUGCUUUACACAUGCAAGUCGAACGGCUGCACGGGUGCUUGCACCUGGUGGCGAGUGGCGAACGGGUGAGUAAUGCAUCGGAACGUGCCCAUGAGUGGGGGAUAGCCCGGCGAAAGCCGGAUUAAUACCGCAUACGCCCUUAGGGGGAAAGCGGGGGGAUCUUCGGACCUCGCGCUAUUGGAGCGGCCGAUGUCGGAUUAGCUAGUAGGUGAGGUAAAGGCUCACCUAGGCGACGAUCCGUAGCUGGUCUGAGAGGAUGAUCAGCCACACUGGGACUGAGACACGGCCCAGACUCCUACGGGAGGCAGCAGUGGGGAAUUUUGGACAAUGGGCGCAAGCCUGAUCCAGCCAUGCCGCGUGAGUGAAGAAGGCCUCGGUUGUAAG
rnacentral:rRNA from 1 species